UUAGAGGCAUGCCUGCCCAGUGACACCAGUUUAACGGCCGCGGUAUUCUGACCGUGCAAAGGUAGCAUAAUCACUUGUUCUCCAAAUAAGGACUUGUAUGAAUGGCCACACGAGGGUUUUACUGUCUCUUACUUCCAAUCAGUGAAAUUAACCUUCCCGUGAAGAGGCGGGAAUAAAAAAAUAAGACGAGAAGACCCUAUGGAGCUUUAAUUAACUAUUCCAAAAGUUAAACAACUCAACCACAAAGGGAUAAAACAUAACUUAACAUGGACUAGCAAUUUCGGUUGGGGUGACCUCGGAGUACAAAAAACCCUCCGAGUGAUUUUAAUCUAGACAAACCAGUCAAAAUAACCAUAACAUCACUUAUUGAUCCAAAAUUUUGAUCAACGGAACAAGUUACCCUAGGGAUAACAGCGCAAUCCUGUUCUAGAGUUCCUAUCGACAAUAGGGUUUACGACCUCGAUGUUGGAUCAGGACACCCAAAUGGUGCAACCGCUAUUAAA
rnacentral:rRNA from 1 species